rnacentral:lncRNA from 1 species
UGAAUGUGAGCAUAGAUGUGGUGGUAGGUGCUGCAGGUUGCCCAUGCCUGAUCACAAGGGCCAGAUGCAUGGUGGCAACAGGGGUCAGGCUGUCUGCAUGUGUGUGUUUGUGUGUGUGUGCAUGCAGUAGUCCUGCAGAGAUCAGCCUUGAGUGUAUGUGGGGUCAAUUUCUGAGGUGAGGGGCUUUGGGGCUCUUUGCAGGCACAGGUGCAACAGCUGCACUGGGCCUCUGGGCCAGAGCACCCAUGUAAGCAACAUCAGGGGUGGCUUUGGAAAGGAUGGUUGUCUUAGGCACCUGCGGUAUAUGAAGGCCACUGCAGUAGUACCCUGGGCUGGGACAACCACAACAGAAGCAGUUCAGGUGGCUUUGGGGAGGAGGGUGGUUGGUUAGGCACCUAAAGACUUCAAGGCUCCUGGGUUGUGUCACCAGGCUGAGGAAACUGCAGCAAUAGCAAUCCUGCCCUACAUGGCUCCUGGGAAUGG